CUACGGGGUGCACCAGUGAGGAAUAUUGCACAAUGGGGGGAACCCUGAUGCAGCAACGCCGCGUGGAGGAUGACGCAUUUCGGUGUGUAAACUCCUUUUAUAUGUCAAGAAAAUGACGGUAGCAUAUGAAUAAGCACCGGCUAACUCCGUUCCAGCAGCCGCGGUAAUACGGAGGGUGCAAGCGUUACUCGGAAUCACUGGGCGUAAAGGACGCGUAGGCGGGUUGGAAAGUCAGGUGUGAAAUCCUACAGCUUAACUGUAGAACUGCACUUGAAACUUCUAAUCUAGAGUAUGGGAGGGGGAGAUGGAAUUAGUGGUGUAGGGGUAAAAUCCGUAGAUAUCACUAGGAAUACCUAAAGCGAAGGCGAUCUCCUGGAACAUUACUGACGCUAAGGCGUGAAAGCGUGGGGAGCGAACAGGAUUAGAUACCCGGGUAGUC
rnacentral:rRNA from 1 species